AAAAGUCAACAUCAUAAAUAUGUAUAUUGAUUAACAAUUCGAUUUUGAAUUCGAUACAGAUUCAAACAUGGCAUUACGUAAUCGGUGUAGGCUGGCACAUUCAAGUCCAAAAAUAUACAAAAUAAAAAAAAACAAAAUUUAUUACAUGACUCAGAGAGGAAAAAGAUUUCUCCAGAGUCUAGACAAAGAAGUUUAUUGCCCUGAAAAUGGCUCAAAUUUAGCUCAUAUGCCAAUUUCUUAUCAAAUGCGAGAUAUUUGUGCACGUUGCAUAUACUUAUAGCCAGACCUAUAUAUGUAUGUAUAUGUAGGUAAACUGGUGAGCCAACAGCCUUGAACUUUCACCAUAAGCCACCACCCACACAUGCCAUGGUAAUGCCAGCCCACGUGGCUAUCUCUCUGUCUGUCUCUGUGGAUAUUGUCCGUCGGCGUCGGCGUCGGCACAUGCAAGUCAAAUAUGAAGUACAAUAAACACACACAAAAAACAAAAAUGAUGACUUUAAAAAAACAACAAAGUUGAUAAAACAAAACUGAAAAUUGGCAGCCAAGGUGCGUUUGUUUAGCCGAACGAUGAACGACGCAUGGAAAGCCUUCAACUUGAAUUAACGUUCAGUUGAAGUUCGCCAUGGAGUAGGAGGUGGAGGAGGAGGAGAAGCAUCAGGGGGAGUGACUAGACUCUUGCCAUCGAAGAACUGGCCUAGAGGAAAAGCCAUGAAAAAGCGGUGAAAACCAGUAGAACCAAACACACCAAAUGACAACAUGUUUAACACAGCUCGUGGCCACAACAAAAUGACAUGUAGUUGCGAAAGUGAGACCAAGACUUGGUGCCUGCUGCUGCUGCUGCUGCUGCUGUUGAUGACGAUAAUGAAUGCUGAUAAUUAUGAUGGUUUCCCAUCCACCAUACCCCCAAAUUCACUCCCCACCCCACCCCACCCCACUCUCUUUCAUCGAGCCAUUGCCUUGCCAGUCAGACAGUCAGUCAGACAGACAGACAGCUGUAGCCCUGAUAGUUUUGAUCUUGGCUUUAUCGAGGUUGGAACUGCAUACAUAUGUUUCAAAUUUUCAAUUUUUCCCCUGUAACAGCUUUGCAAAUGUUUAACCAACCAACCAAAAAAAAAGAAACCUAAGUAACCCGGAAGUGCUAAAGUGCUCGAAAGUUCUAAUCGUGCGUAAGUGCCUACAAAAAGUAAACAACUAAAUAACUGGAGGAUAAAGUACCUACAUAUUUGAAAUUUUUCACAAUUUACCAUAAAUUGUCACUUUGAUUUUCGACUCAAAGAAAUUAAAGCUUGAAAAUUUUGGUAAUUUUUAAGAAAAAUAGAAAAGAAAUAUCAUGUUAAUAAUAGUUUAUCUAAAGACCAAGAAUCAACUACAUAAGAAAUGUAUUAGUAAAAAAGUUUAGCGGCUGAUUAAUCUGUAAAGGAUAUUUUUAGGGUCGCCAAAAAUUGAUGUAUAUAAUGUAAUUACUUUUUGAUAACCAUGGAAAGACGUGUCGAUAUAUCAAUAGAAUUUACUAAAUGAGAUAAAGUAUGAAAAUUGA